AACGUUAUUAUUUCAAAAUUCGGUUCGAGGACUAGAAUGCUCUAUGUGAGGGCCGAUGUGCGUCAGUCCUUCGUAACGGAGGUGAGACCAGAGCUCAGAGUUGGUACCGGCGCAGGACGUAAGUGGAACAGAAAGAGGAAACAGACCAGGGUCGUCGGUGGCAGCGGAGUGGAGCAGCAUUAAAUGCGUUCAGGGGCCAGCUGUAGCGGCGCCAGCGCGGCAGAGGCCGUCCGCGCAGCGCCGGUUGGUGGAAGAAGCUCCACCGGGCGGGCGAGGCGGGCGGUGGCCCGUCGAGGCCGGGCACGAGGUGCGAGGACGAUAGGCCGAGGAAGCGCAUGUGGAAGUGGUUCGGCGGGCGGUGGCGGCGCAUGAGGGGCGGCGGGACGGACCCGGCGCCGCCGCGGAGCCGCCAGAGGGAGCGGCAGGAGCUCACCGCGCGGUGGACGGCCCCGCAGGUCAAGCUGUCCUAGAAGCCGCAGACCGAGCCGCCGCGGCUCGAGGAGGCGCCGUCGUGGCGGCUCGGCGACGUCUUGCCGCAGCAGACCAGGCAGAGGUUCCUGCAGUGGUCCGUGCGCAGGGAGGAGCGGCGGCCGUUGAGGUGGGAGCGGCAGAAGCAGCUCUUGGAGCAGUUGUCGGUCAUGUGGCCGCACAUGAUGCGGUUGCAGUGCGAGGUGGAGAUGAAGGCGGCGUGCGGCUGCUCCGGCGGCGGGCGACACCGAGGGCGGCUGGAGUAGCAGGGCUACAGGUCUCCGAACGGAGAGUUGCUGCCCGAGACCAUGUUCUAGGUCUUGCGGUGGCUGCAGCGCAGGUUCUCGCAGCGCGACGGUAGGUUGUGGAUGGCGCGCCAGGAGCUUGAGAUGCAGAGCAAGGUGCCCCUGCUGCUCAAGACCACCUGUUUGGUCGGGCCGCGACUGCGGUUGCCGGGCAAGGCGCUCCAGUGGCAGGCACAACUGCCCCAGGAGCGGCCGCGGCGCACCGGCAAGGGGCAGUAGAAGUGGCCGCCGUAGUUGGGGGAGGAUACCGUCGGGUAGUGGCCGUAGCCGAGGAAGUUGGAGGGCUGCAUGCUGCAGCUCCACUGCGGCAACGACCCGUUCUACGACCUGCCGUUCCGCGUGCGCAAGCGCAAGCGCCACUGGUUGCGGCACCUGCACACCAUGCAGCUGCGGUUGGAGGUGGAGACCGACCUGGGACCCUCGUGCCGCUGCCGCCGCCGGGAGCACUCGAUGCACCGCGGCCUCGAUCGCCGCCGCUGCUGCAGGAAGGCGUGCUGCCGCUCGGCCGUCCACAGCCGCUGGCCUACCCACUUCAGCAGCAUGCCCUUGUAGUGCUGCUUGCGGUGCGUCUGCAAGGUAAAGCUGUUGUGGUUGUGGUUGUGGUUGCUACCGCUCUGCCACUUGGUCUGCUGGCAGCGCGUGCGUCCGCAGCGGCGGUGCCUGGAGCGGCCGCAGGACAUGAUGAGCCACGUCUGCGCGGCCUCCAAGGGCGAAAACAACCUGAGUCCUCGCCUGGUCCACUGGCAGUGCGUGCCCAACCUCCUUUGCUGCCAUCGGCGGCCGGCCACCAGCAGCCCCGGGUCCAUGGUCAGCGACGCGUUGUGCGCCGCCUCGUCGCAGCGGCCCCGCAGCGCCCCGCAGGCCGUCUGCAUGUCCAUGCUCCGGUGGCUGCCCACGAUGGACUCCUUGCACUGGUCGUCGCCAAUGUUGUAGCACAGCCUGGUCAGGUCACUCCGCACGCACUUCCCCAGUAACGCAACUAGAUGUCCUAGUUCGUCAUUUAUUUCACAUGCCACUAUAUGCUAUUGCUCAUUGUCCACCAAGCAAGUCACUAAGAGGCACUGUCUACAAAAGCGAAAAAAGAAGAAGAAUCAACACCGAAUAGUUCGUAAGUCAGUCGAAGUAGUUCUUGUUCUAUACGAUAAACUGAGUCUGAGUGAAAGGGGUAAAGGUCUUAUAGUAAGCCGGAAGGUCCUCAACGUUGUUGGUACAGUCGUGGUACGAGAUUUAGAGAAUAGACUCCCGGAAAACCUCGUGGUAGUAUAUCUGUGACGUUUUCUUUUUAAUACUAAUUAUGCUAUAUAGAGAGACACACACACACAGACACACAUCAAAUGUUUUUGCCUUUAUGGUAAAGAAUCCAUGCUCAUUGUAAUCGUAGAUGAGGGAAGCAAAGCUUAAUGAACAGCGUCUAUACCUACAUAGAUCUACAUAAAAUCAAGAUCUAUGUAGGUAAAGACGCUGCUUAUUAAACUUUGCCUCCCUCAUCGUUACACCUAUUUGUUCACAUAAUUCACCAGAUUCUCAUCUCGUCACAUCACGUCUACAUUUUUUAUCUUCCUUGUAUGUCAUCUACUGUAAGAGCUCUCAAUAAAUAUUCCUACCGUUACCCAGCCCAAACCU
rnacentral:rRNA from 1 species